rnacentral:rRNA from 1 species
ACUCCUACGGGAGGCAGCAGUGGGGAAUAUUGCACAAUGGGCGCAAGCCUGAUGCAGCCAUGCCGCGUGUGUGAAGAAGGCCUUCGGGUUGUAAAGCACUUUCAGUUGUGAGGAAGGUGGUGUCGUUAAUAGCGGCAUCAUUUGACGUUAGCAACAGAAGAAGCACCGGCUAACUCCGUGCCAGCAGCCGCGGUAAUACGGAGGGUGCGAGCGUUAAUCGGAAUUACUGGGCGUAAAGCGCAUGCAGGUGGUUUGUUAAGUCAGAUGUGAAAGCCCGGGGCUCAACCUCGGAACUGCAUUUGAAACUGGCAGACUAGAGUACUGUAGAGGGGGGUAGAAUUUCAGGUGUAGCGGUGAAAUGCGUAGAGAUCUGAAGGAAUACCGGUGGCGAAGGCGGCCCCCUGGACAGAUACUGACACUCAGAUGCGAAAGCGUGGGGAAGCAAACAGGAUUAGAUAA